AGGGUUCGAUCAUGGCUCAGGACGAACGCUGGCGGCGCGCCUAACACAUGCAAGUCGAACGAGCGAGAGGAGGUUUACUUUCUCAAGCGAGUGGCGAACGGGUGAGUAACGCGUGAGGAACCUGCCUCAAAGAGGGGGACAACAGUUGGAAACGACUGCUAAUACCGCAUAAGCCCACGACCCGGCAUCGGGUAGAGGGAAAAGGAGCAAUCCGCUUUGAGAUGGCCUCGCGUCCGAUUAGCUAGUUGGUGAGGUAAUGGCCCACCAAGGCGACGAUCGGUAGCCGGACUGAGAGGUUGAACGGCCACAUUGGGACUGAGACACGGCCCAG
rnacentral:rRNA from 1 species